rnacentral:snRNA from 1 species
AUAGCUUCUUGGCCUUUUGGCUAAGAUCAAGUG